AUUCUACAGUUUGAAGUUUACAUAUGCAUCCGAAUAGUAAUUUAUUUAUGAUUUAAGUGUUUAAAUGCAUUCUUUGCACUUCAGGCGAUGCACAGUUUGUUUCUGCGACGUAUCGUCUGUUCAAAGUUCCACAAGGCAGCAAGACAGAUGGAUCGAGAGUAACAUACAAAGGUUCCAUGGAAGACAAUCCAAGUGAAUUCAAGUUUAACGUUCACAAUAUAUUCACGAAAACACCGAAGAUUGUUUCUGCUGGAGUGGCAAGCGUCCUUUGUGCAUCUCGUUUCUCGAAGCAUCUUGAAUUCCAUCCGUUGGAGCCUGGGACCGCUGCCCCUGCUGAUGGCGUUGACAGUGAGGCGGACCCAUUUGCUUAUUGCGAGUCAAACAAUGUCGCUCCUGCGGCAUGUUGCGCCGAGCCGGCUAAACAGGAAAGUUGCCGUGCCAAACCUGUUGAGCAGGAAAAUGGUUGUCCGAAGCGUGCGAGGACUGACUAUGAAGGUCCUUGUUGCUAAAAGUUCACUUGAAAACUGCAAGAUGUACUGAGAGUCUGACACUCUAGUAGAUAGGAAGGAAGUAUAGCUCAGCUGAUAGCGUUUAAUAUUUGUUGUGUACUAAUAUAACUUAAAAUACGGGCUACAUUUAAUAUGUAACUUUGAAUGGGAGGAAAUAAACAUGCCUUAAGUUUCCUUA